AACGAACGCUGGCGGCAUGCCUAACACAUGCAAGUCGAACGAGACCUUCGGGUCUAGUGGCGCACGGGUGCGUAACGCGUGGGAACCUGCCCUUAGGUUCGGAAUAACUCCCCGAAAGGGGUGCUAAUACCGGAUAAUGUCUUCGGACCAAAGAUUUAUCGCCUUUGGAUGGGCCCGCGUUGGAUUAGCUAGUUGGUAGGGUAAAAGCCUACCAAGGCGACGAUCCAUAGCUGGUCUGAGAGGAUGAUCAGCCACACUGGGACUGAGACACGGCCCAGACUACUGCGGGAGGCAGCAGUGGGGAAUAUUGGACAAUGGGCGAGAGCCUGAUCCAGCAAUGCCGCGUGAGUGAUGAAGGCCUUAGGGUUGUACAGCUCUUUUACCCGGGAUGAUAAUGACAGUACCGGGAGAAUAAGCACCGGCUAACUCCGUG
rnacentral:rRNA from 1 species